CCCACAGCUGAGGAUAGAAGUGAGGGGACACUUCCGUUCUCCACCCGCUCUGUCUCUAGAGAAGGGAGAGAACUUACGCUACAGCUGUCCAACAUGGUGUGUGGGAGGAGCACCCUACCUCCUUCCCUCUCCUUCACUGGUCUAGGAGAGGAGGAAGCUCAGGCGACCAGAGAGUUUGGGAGUGAAAGAGAGCUGAGCACAUCCAGCCAGACCUCCGUGAGGCCGUUGUGUGGAAAAGCCAUCCCUGAGACUCACCUUCGCUGCUCGUCCAUGAGGGGGGCUCCCGACAGCUGCUGGGAGAGCAGGCGUAGAGGCUACUCCCGGGGUCACUUGGCACAACCCUGCAGUGUGGGAUCCAGAAGGACCGCAAUGGACAACACUGAGGACUGCUCUGUCCACCACCCUCAGCCAUUCGUCUCUCUAUCAGCCUAUUCUUCCAUCUCAGCUUUCCUCCUUGUUCACAGCACAUGGUCUCAAAGCUCUGGCCACCAUGACUUCACAGACUUCCCUUGCUUGGCCUCUGCAUUCAGUGAGAAAAUGUGUUUCCCUUUGACACUGGGCAGCUCCCUGGAAUAUCUGAAACCUGUCUGCAGAAGAGGAACCGCUUUAUGAGUUCACCGGGUCUCACAUAACUUGAGUAAGGAAAGUGUCUCUAUCCCACUCAGCUUUGAGGUCCCAGCACUUAGCACAGAGUCUGCAAUUUAGUGCCAAAAAAAAAGGAAAGAAAGGGGAAUAAAGGGAGAGAAGGAGUAAAAAGUAAAAGUUCAGAAAAACACUAUAUUAACAGAUAUAUAGUACACUCAGAUUCAUGUAACAAAUGUAUAUAAAUAUUACUUGAACAUAAAUGAAUUCCUUAUCUAAAAGGCACAAAAGAACAACAGCUCCAUCAGGACACACUGAAGAUAGAUUAGUGACAUUUCUGAGGAAGGUGCCCAAUUUCUAGAACCCAGACCUUUCCAGCCAGUUCCUGUUGCUAAGUGAUGUGUUGCUAAGGAAGUCUGAACUUCCAGCAGCUCAGCUGCUCCUAGUACAGCUCUGGGCAUCUCCUGGAGGCCAUUGCAACAGGAUCAGGCGCACCUCAUCAAUCUUAAAGUUAUGCAAUGCACAGUAAGAUUGAAAACAGUGCAAUACUGUGUAGUCAAACAUGAGCAUGGUCAUUAAUCACCUUCAGCCUCUCCAGGCUAAUGCAGCCUGGUCCAGGUGUUACACGUGCUGAAUUUAAAACAAAGGUCAGCUACCCAAGGUCUCUGGAAGUUGGGUUCAAGGCUUAAAGCCUACAUCUAGAACCAAAGACAAAUGUCCUGAGGGAGGAAGGGAAGGAAAGAAGAAAAGAAGAAAGGAAAAAGGAAGGGAGGAAGGGAAAGGAAGGGAGGGAGGGAGGGAGGGACAGAAGAGGCUUGUCUCAGCUCUCUUGCUUGCUUUUGCUGUCUUCUGCCCAUCAUGAACUGUUUCUCCUCUGUCUGCCAUCCACCCUGCCUUGGAGCCAACUGAUGAUGGACUGAAACCUCUAUAAACCACGAGGGGAAAUAAACCUUUCUUCCUUUAACAUUAGGUGUAACAUAUUUUGUUCCAGCAAUGAAAAAAGCAACAAAAAUGCGAAGGGAAGAGAGAGAGGGAAAGAGGGAAAGGAAGGGAGCGGGGGAAAGUAACCAAGUUCUCAGGUAUCUUACCCCAGACAUAAGGUGGGUAGCAUGCACUCAUAAGCAGGUUUCCUCCCCUUCAGAAAUGAGAAGGAUUACAAUUCCUUACCAUCUUUGUUGUUAAAUGAGGUCAUGAGACAGUUUUGAUCUGAACCCUGCAUGUUCUCAUCCCUGCUGGAAUGAUCACAUGAAAUCAGAGGCCCCAUGGUGAGACAAAAAUGUCAGGAC
rnacentral:lncRNA from 1 species